rnacentral:misc_RNA from 1 species
AUGGCACCAGUACAGGUGACCAUCGAAACGCAAUACGCCGCGUAGACUUCGGUCACGACGGUAUGGCGAGCUUUCGCCGUCCACGUUUCCCUUUCUUCAAGAAGACAAAAACCGCGUCGACCGGUUCCCCGAAUGGGCCCGUAGCUCAGUUGGUUAGAGCACACGCNUGAUAAGCGUGGG